rnacentral:rRNA from 1 species
CCUACGGGAGGCAGCAGUGGGGAAUCUUGCGCAAUGGGCGAAAGCCUGACGCAGCCAUGCCGCGUGAAUGAUGAAGGUCUUAGGAUUGUAAAAUUCUUUUCACCGGGGACGAUAAUGACGGUACCCGGAGAAGAAGCCCCGGCUAACUUCGUGCCAGCAGCCGCGGUAAUACGAAGGGGGCUAGCGUUGCUCGGAAUUACUGGGCGUAAAGGGAGCGUAGGCGGAUAGUUUAGUCAGAGGUGAAAGCCCAGGGCUCAACCUUGGAAUUGCCUUUGAUACUGGCUAUCUUGAGUAUGGGAGAGGUUAGCGGAACUCCGAGUGUAGAGGUGAAAUUCGUAGAUAUUCGGAAGAACACCAGUGGCGAAGGCGGCUAACUGGCCCAUUACUGACGCUGAGGCUCGAAAGCGUGGGGAGCAAACAGGAUUAGAUACCCUGGUAGCCCACGCCGUAAACGAUGAGUGCUAGUUGUCGGCAUGCAUGCAUGUCGGUGACGCAGCUAACGCAUUAAGCACUCCGCCUGGGGAGUACGGUCGCGAGAUAAACGUUAAAGUAAGUAGACGCGNGAGACGNGCCGACGACGACGACGAGGGAGUAGG